AUCCCUAUAUUUUUAUUAGUUCUUUUUUGUCAUUUAUUCUUACUCUUGUACUGAUAGUGCAUCUUCUCCAUUUUAUUUUAUUUUUUAUCUUUUUUUAUUAUUUUAUUGUAUUUUAAUUGAUACAUAAUUAUUAAUUCAAAAAUAUUAAAAUCAAAGGUGUUUGAUUAACAUCAAGUUUUUUUUUUUAAAUCAAACCAAAUCAUUUCUAAAUCAAAAUCAAUCGCUUAACAUCCAU
rnacentral:lncRNA from 1 species